GACGAACGCUGGCGGCGUGCUUAACACAUGCAAGUCGAGCGGUAAGGCCCUUUCGGGGGUACACGAGCGGCGAACGGGUGAGUAACACGUGGGUGACCUGCCCUCAGCUCUGGGAUAAGCCUGGGAAACCGGGUCUAAUACCGGAUAUGACUCCAUGACGCAUGUUGUGGGGUGGAAAGCCUUGUGCGGCUGAGGAUGGGCCCGCGGCCUAUCAGCUUGUUGGUGGGGUGAUGGCCUACCAAGGCGACGACGGGUAGCCGGCCUGAGAGGGCGACCGGCCACACUGGGACUGAGACACGGCCCAGACUCCUACGGGAGGCAGCAGUGGGGGAUUUUGCACAAUGGACGAAAGUCUGAUGCAGUGACGCCGCGUGGGGAUGACGGCCUGGU
rnacentral:rRNA from 1 species